ACGACUUCAAAGCUAAUGAAAUUCACUAGGUACUCAGUGCUCUUACAUAUUUUCGAAAGUUGUACAGAGAAGCUGUAUAAAUAAAGGAAAAGAGGUAACAAAAUAGAUAUAAAAAAAUAGUAGAAGUUAGAAGUCAGAAGACGAAAGAAGUGCACAUCUAUAAUUCUUGGUGAGAUGUUUGUCUACUUUCAUAUUCCGAAAUUACAGUAACCUUUUUUGUCUUUCCUCCCCAACGAACGCACCCUCUCCGAACGGGAAGUCCCUGGGACUGAACGACCCAUCAAUCUUUCGAACGCUCCAACGGUCGUCAAUUACAAACACCCGUCUUUCUCCGACUCUCCCUCUAUACAUUCUUGUUGAUUCCGUCUUCGGUAUUCCCUCCCGACUCUUCCUCCACCUUCCCCUCCGACCUUCAAUCCGUUACUAAGACCCUAUCCUCUGUAACUAAGACUCUAUCCUCGCGACAUUCAUCGAAGAUGAACCUGGUGUCCGUUUUCUGCCAUCUUUUGACUACCAAGUUUUCUGCUGCCAACAACAUUACAUGACAAUUAAUAAGGCGCAAGGGCAAACGAUUCCCUAUGUUGAUCUCUAUUUACCUCAAAGUGUUUUCUAACGUGGGCAACUAUAUGCGCAUUGUCUUCUGAGAUUUCUAAGGCAACUACAAAAGUUUUGCUCAAAACAAGAGCUGAUGAAAGUAAGAAACGCUCGUACACCAAAAAUGGAGUAUUUAAGGAGUUAUUAACUCAGUGAAGCAAGAAACCACCUCUUACGUGAUAUCCAUUUAAAGACUUAAAGGGAAUCAUGCUCAAGCCAUUGUUGGUAUGCCAACCAAGAGUUUGAAGUGCAAUGGUGAUUUGGAAGUGGAAGUGAUAAUUGAUGUAUGCAAUUUGUCUCACUUAUGCAAUUUCCAACUGUGAUUCUUAUCUUUUCCCCUUGUGCUUAUGAGAAAGAGCUGGCUAACUUGGUGGCCAAACAUCCCAUGAAUUUGGAGGAUCCCACUCUUGUUUGUUGAAAAAAUUUUAACUACGGAAAUAGUAGACCCCUUACUUUUCAAAAAAUCGAGGAACUCAAUAGUGUUAUGCCAUAGAACCGUUCCAAAUGGGGAAAAAAGGGCAGGCCUGGAUUGGCAUUUUAGUUUUCUAUACUCCAAAUAUAAAAAUGUAUGACAAAUCUUUCACGUGCAACGCACGUGCAGCUUUACUAGUCCGUGUAAAUGACUAACUG